rnacentral:rRNA from 1 species
UGACGAAUAUUGCACAAUGGGGGCAACCCUGAUGCAGCAACGCCGCGUGAAGGAUGAAGGCUUUCGAGUUGUAAACUUCUUUAGGCAGGGAAGAAUAAAUGACGGUACCUGCAGAAUAAGCCCCGGCUAAAUACGUG